rnacentral:rRNA from 1 species
UACAUGGGGUGCAACCGUUGCUCGGAAUUAUUGGGCGUAAAGCGCGCGUAGGCGGUUACUCAAGUCGGAUGUGAAAGCCCUCGGCUUAACUGAGGAAGUGCACCCGAAACUGAGUAGCUAGAGUACUAAAGAGGGUCGCGGAAUUCCCGGUGUAGAGGUGAAAUUCGUAGAUAUUCGCAAGAACACCAGUGGCGAAGGCGGCUCACUGGCCCGAUACUGACGCUGAGGCAUGAAAGCGUGGGGAGCAAACAGG